rnacentral:misc_RNA from 1 species
AAAUUCUACGUCAAGACUUUGUGUAUGCCUGUGGGAAACCACGAACAUACAUAGUGAGAGUUGAGGAAUAAUUGGUGGUAGUGGUGGACCAUUAAAGGGGGUGCAACAUGCCGGGAGAGACUACGCUAGGGCCGGAGAACAGACCGGUGACGAUGCAGAACUGGUUGGCGGGGACCAUUGUUGGGACAAUGGUGACUAUUGUUCUGAUGAUGUUCGUUCCUGGAUGGCUCGUCUUCACCGACGAGAGCACAAAUUUACGUGUGUACGUGAGUAUCUACUACUGGUAUGUAUGUAGAGAGGGGAACAUCACGUGUGGGGCUUACGGAGUGGGCCAGCCCGAUGCCUACAGAUACAUCAAAGACACAAACGGUAAGGUACAUGUACACUAGCAAGUCCUUGCUCGAAAUUAAAUAUGAAUGGAAAUGUUUAUUUUGUGAUGCAUUCCAAACUACGUGCGUGAUUCAAAAUUAAAGGCUUCACAAUUAUUUUCUUAAUCUGCGAUUCAUUAAUUGGCCAUGUAACCGUGGGCAAUCCAUCUAAUUAAAUAUUGAUGCUCGGAGGUCAUUUAACGUUGAAUACAGAUCGAGUCAAUUCACAUUAUUUCCAAUUAAUCUUAGAACUGCUCCGUUUUCAUGGUCGUGCAAGAUUUUCUAUCGUUCACUAUUAAUUUCACUUUAUGACAGCCACGCCGGAGAACACAGUGAUGUUGGUUUCUGUAGAUAUGAUCGUCUGCAUCCUGUGUGCACUCGUCGUCCUUGGCGACAUGGCGGGAAAACAGCCUCGGACCACGUGGUGGAACAAUCUCAAACUAGGAAUCCUCAUCUUUAUCAUUUUCGUUCUCAACUUGAUCAUUAUUGGACUGUUUGGCCACAGCAGUAUAAGUCUUGCAGAAAACCCCGCCCUGGUUGUGUCGGUGCCUUAUUCCUUAUUGAUCCUAUCCCUAGCGGUGCUGGUGACGCUCCUAGAGUUCUCCUUCCUGAUUUACCUCCACCACCUUUCCACAGCCGCCUACCACAACCUCCCCAGUACCUCAAUAGAGGAUGAGGACGAGGAGGAGAAUCAACCGAGCACCAGCGCCAGUCAGCCUAGCAUCAACAGACCGUUCUAAACAAGCACCCGCAGAUUUAUUAUAACAAUAGAUUUACUUUCAUCCAAAAUUUUAAUUUUGUGUGAAUGAUGGUCUACUUUUUUAUAUAGUACAUACAUUACUGUACUGAAUGCUUGUUAAUCCCAAGUGUGAGCAAGUUAGUUGUAAAUUCAAUACAUACACAGGAACUACUGGGUAUACUCUCCACAAAUAAACCCUCUUUUAAUUGAUGUACAAGUACCGAAUGUUCUGAUUUUUUUAUAUGAUUAUAAAUCUUUUCAUUUAUUUUGUAACAUUUUACACUUAGUCUAAUAGUAUACAAGCCAAGUUCAACUGAAGGUGAUUCAUGAACAAUUUCACGCUAAUGAAUGUUGCCUUUUACCAUGUACUUUCAUUUUACAAUGUACAUUUCUUUGAUGGAUUAAAGAUGGACUAAGGGUCUCACUUGCAUAUUAUGAAGAUAAAUGGUUGAGUAGAGAGAUUCUACAGAACCCUUAUGAUAAAAGCCUAUUUGAAAGGACAAAUGCAUGUACUGAUAGACAUAAAGUUAACAAAUUAAAGAACAAUGUCUGCCUUAUACUGUUAAUUAUAAGACCUUGCAUUGAAUGCCAGAACUGGAUUAUCACAUGCAUAUAUGUAUUGAGGGUAUUACUUUUCAUUAUCAUGGUGUAUGUACUUUUAUACUAAAGACAAUUACCAGGUACAAGA